rnacentral:lncRNA from 1 species
CUUUUAAAGCACAUUGUCAGUUUUCUAGUUAUUCAAGAACCCUUCAAUGAGGUCAGGUUGUGCUGAAAAUAACAUACUGGAGAUAUAUCUGGGCUGAAUGUCAGUAAAUUUGGAGUUUCCGACCUGCCUGGGAUUCCCUGUGUGCACCGCUAGCUCCAAGGUCACUGCCCAGGACUGAAAGGAGAAGGAGUUGUAGAGGAGGCAGAGAAUGAGACACCCCUGCUAAUGGUAUGCUAACGAGAGAAAUGGAGCAGGAGGUGGACUGCAGGAAGAAGAAGAUGGCCAUGGUGAGGACCAGUACGGAGAUGAAGAACAGAGAAUGGAUUCCAGGGAUGUCACAUCGCUGACAUUUCUAUUGCUUCAGCCUGGAAACUUCAUUAUUGGAGACAAUGGAAGUAGAUUUUUGUCUAAGCUGCAACUUCUACAGUAAAAAUACUGUGGA